CCACGGGAUAGCCUGCCGAAAGGCAGAUUAAUACCGUAUGUGGUCCGAAGACGGCAUCAGAUUCGGACUAAAGGUUCAGCGGUGACGGAUGGGGAUGCGUCCGAUUAGGUAGUAGGCGGGGUAACGGCCCACCUAGCCAUCGAUCGGUAGGGGUUCUGAGAGGAAGGUCCCCCACACUGGAACUGAGACACGGUCCAGACUCCUACGGGAGGCAGCAGUGAGGAAUAUUGGUCAAUGGAGGCAACUCUGAACCAGCCAAGUAGCGUGCAGGAUGACGGCCCUAUGGGUUGUAAACUGCUUUUAUGCGGGGAUAAACUGAGCCACGUGUGGCUUAUUGCAGGUACCGCAUGAAUAAGGACCGGCUAAUUCCGUGCCAGCAGCCGCGGUAAUACGGAAGGUCCGGGCGUUAUCCGGAUUUAUUGGGUUUAAAGGGAGCGCAGGCCGCCCCUUAAGCGUGUUGUGAAAUGCCGCGGCUCAACCGUGGCACUGCAGCGCGAACUGGGGGGCUUGAGUGCGCCGGAGGUAGGCGGAAUUCGUGGUGUAGCGGUGAAAUGCUUAGAUAUCACGAAGAACUCCGAUUGCGAAGGCAGCCUACCGUAGCGUUACUGACGCUGAGGCUCGAAGGUGCGGGUAUCGAACAGGAUUAGAUACCCUGGUAGUCCGCACGGUAAACGAUAGAUGCCCGCCGUUGGGUAUUUUUAUUCAGCGGCCAAG
rnacentral:rRNA from 1 species